UGGGAGGAAAGUCUGUCUGGACAGCCAGCA
rnacentral:piRNA from 1 species